rnacentral:rRNA from 1 species
AUUGAACGCUGGCGGCAUGCUUUACACAUGCAAGUCGAACGGCAGCACGGACUUCGGUAUGCUGACGAGUGGCGAACGGGUGAGUAAUACAUCGGAACGUGCCUAGUAGUGGGGGAUAACUACUCGAAAGAGUGGCUAAUACCGCAUGAGCUCGACGGAUGAAAGCAGGGGAUCGCAAGAACUUGUGCUACUAGAGCGGCCGAUGGCAGAUUAGGUAGUUGGUGGGAUAAAAGCUUACCCAGCCGACGAUGUGUAGCUGGUCUGAGAGGACGAUCAGCCACACUGGGACUGAGACACGGCCCAGACUCCUACGGGAGGCAGCAGUGGGGAAUUUUGGACAAUGGGCGCAAGCCUGAUCCAGCAAUGCCGCGUGCAGGAUGAAGGCCUUCGGGUUGUAAACUGCUUUUGUACGGAACGAAAAGCCCUGGGUUAAUACCCUGGGGUCAUGGCGGUACCGUAAGAAUAAGCACCGGCUAACUACGUGCCAGCAGCCGCGGUAACAC